rnacentral:sRNA from 1 species
GUGUGUGUGUGCGUUUGUGCGGUAUACUGCAGAAAAAAACAUCUAUGUAUGUAGAACUUCUUCCUUUUUGACAAAUGAAUUUAAUUUUCUCGUUUCUUUUUGCUUGUUAUUUUCAGGGACAGAAACGUUCGUUUGCCCGUAUGUGUUUGAAUUCAUGGUUGUAUGCUUAAGUCGAAGGAUAAUUUAACUGCAUUGAGCAAUACUACAAACAAAUUACACAUGAACGAGGACAAACUUCAGAAUAACCACAUAGCAGCAGCAACCAAAACAUGUCAUUUGAAAAUUUACAACACUAAGACCAGAAAACUCCUCUACAUAGGUGUCUCGUAAUGUCUCACGUAUGAGACGCAAAGUCAGAAUAUGCUCCUUAAAGUGCUGUUGUCAUGUUAACUGGAAAAACGCCCAAGUUGUUCUUAAACGACACCAGAUUUAUAUCUUAUUGCGGAGAAUAAAGACACAUAAUGACACUACAAUGCAAUGCUCUGCUACCAG